rnacentral:rRNA from 1 species
GACGAACGCUGGCGGCGUGCUUAACACAUGCAAGUCGAACGGGAAGGCCCUGCUUUUGUGGGGUGCUCGAGUGGCGAACGGGUGAGUAACACGUGAGUAACCUGCCCUUGACUUUGGGAUAACUUCAGGAAACUGGGGCUAAUACCGGAUAGGAGCUCCUGCUGCAUGGUGGGGGUUGGAAAGUUUCGGCGGUUGGGGAUGGACUCGCAGCUUAUCAGCUUGUUGGUGGGGUAGUGGCUUACCAAGGCUUUGACGGGUAGCCGGCCUGAGAGGGUGACCGGCAACAUUGGGACUGAGAUACGGCCCAGACUCCUACGGGAGGCAGCAGUGGGGAAUAUUGCACAAUGGGCGGAAGCCUGAUGCAGCAACGCCGCGUGCGGGAUGACGGCCUUCGGGUUGUAAACCGCUUUCGCCUGUGACGAAGCGUGAGUGACGGUAAUGGGUAAAGAAGCACCGGCUAACUACGUG